AUAUCAAUAAGCGGAGGAAAAGAAACUAACAAGGAUUCCCCUAGUAACGGCGAGUGAAGCGGGAAGAGCUCAAAUUUAAAAUCUGGCGGUCUCAGGCCGUCCGAGUUGUAAUCUAGAGAGGUGUUUUCUGUGCCGGACCGUGUACAAGUCCCUUGGAACAGGGCGUCAUAGAGGGUGAUAAUCCCGUCCAUGACACGGACUACCGGUGCUCUGUGAUACACCUUCAAAGAGUCGAGUUGUUUGGGAAUGCAGCUCAAAAUGGGUGGUAAAUUCCAUCUAAAGCUAAAUACAGGCGAGAGACCGAUAGCGAACAAGUACCGUGAGGGAAAGAUGAAAAGAACUUUGGAAAGAGAGUUAAACAGUACGUGAAAUUGUUGAAAGGGAAACGCUUGAAGUCAGUCGCGUCCGCCGGGAUUCAGCCUUGCUUUUGCUUGGUGCACUUCCCGGUAGAUGGGCCAGCAUCAAUUUUGGUCGUCGGAGAAGGGCGGGAGGAAUGUGGCAGCUUGCUGUGUUAUAGCCUCCUGUCGUAAACGAUGACUGGGAUUGAGGAAUGCAGCACGCCUUUGGUCGGGGUUCGCCCACGCCACGUGCUUAGGAUGCUGGCGUAAUGGCUUUAAACGACCCGUCUUGAAACACGGACCAAGGAGUCUAACAUGCCUGCGAGUGUUUGGGUGCUAAACCCAGGCGCGUAAUGAAAGUGAAAAGUUGGGACUCUUUAGUGAGGCACCGACGCCCGAUCCUGAAGUUUUCCGACGGAUUUGAGGCAGAGCAUGUAUGUUGGGACCCGAAAGAUGGUGAACUAUGCCUGAAUAGGGUGAAGCCAGAGGAAACUCUGGUGGAGGCUCGUAGCGAUUCUGACGUGCAAAUCGAUCGUCAAAUUUGGGUAUAGGGGCGAAAGACUANUCGAACCAUCUAGUANCUGGUUCCUGCCGAAGUU
rnacentral:rRNA from 1 species